GCUGAACCUUAAUAAAUCCGAUAGAAUUUCACAGAACGGAGGACGCUUUAUUGGGUUAUUGUUCCAGCACUUAGUCAUCAGAGAAUUCAAGAUUUGUGGGCAGUCCUUAGGAAUCUCCGGUCUCAGGCCGCAUGCAGCUAUUCCAACUGCUGCCUGCACAGGUGAACAUGCAGCAUAAGCUGCCUCACCUGUCACCAUCUCCCAAAUCACCAUCCCAAAACUAUAUACAUUACUCAUCCAUGUCUCAAUGACACUCUCUGGAUCACCAGCAAUGAUCUCUGGGGCUAGCCAUCGGUAACCAUCUGUUUCAUACUCCAUCGCCUCACCCAUACUCUUGCAAGCAGUGACUAUUCCCAUAUCCCCUAAGCAUGCAUUCCCAUGCCUGUCCAAUAGAAUCCUCUGUGUAUUAAGGUCUCUAUAUGCAACACCAUGAUCAUUCAUGAAUUUAA
rnacentral:misc_RNA from 1 species